rnacentral:rRNA from 1 species
UAAUCGCGGAUCAGCAUGCCGCGGUGAAUACGUUCCCGGGCCUUGUACACACCGCCCGUCACACCACGAGAGUUUGCAACACCCGAAGUCGGUGAGGUAACCUUUAUGGAGCCAGCCGCCGAAGGUGGGGCAGAUGAUUGGGGUGAAGUCGUAACAAGGUAGCCGUAUCGGAAGGUGCGGCUGGAUCACCUCCUUUCUAAGGA